AGUGAAUUCUGUCUCCCCCCACCCCCACAUACACAGCAGGCCACUGGAGGGCAUGAGAUUGAUGUUGGACCAGGAUGCCAGCUUUCCAUGAGGAGUGGAAUGGGACAAGAAGUACACAGAGUCUCUGAGGUGGCUAUCCAGUUUAGAACACAUUUCAAACUCAAAAACAACUGCCCAGAGUGAGGAAAGGCAGAAAUGAAACCAGUAAUUUUUGCUUCUGAGGCAAACGACAGCAGCCCUAAGCAAUAUGUGCUUUUAUUGUCUCUAAUUCACAGCUGAGGACACUGAGGCAGAGAAUGACAGUUCUUAGCAAUCUCUGGAUCUUCUUUAAGCAAACAGAUUAUUAUCCUGUGGAACAAAAUUUUAAGAGAAUGAAAGCUCAGAGAAGUUAAAUGAUUUUUACAAAGUCACACAGCUGCUUUGGUGAAUAGAGGAAGAAAAAUCAGAAGAAUAGAGCCUAAGGAACCCUACUAUGAAGAAAAAAAAAACAUGAGUUUUUGAUAUAUUGAUUUCCUGACCUCUAUUUGACUUCCCAGAAAUUUUUUUUUACAUUCUGCUAGAUCCUCAACCAGCAUUCAAAUGAGGUCAUUGGAUUUCUGAGUUCUACUUAGAAGAGGCCAUCCUCAGGUUUCACUGUGGGGGUUUUGUACUAAGACCAAAUAUCAAUGCUUUUGCAUACCAGGAAAGCCAGAAAUGAGAGCUUGAGUUCAGAAGCACACUGGAUUUUAAGGUCUGCUCACCAGAUCACACCUGGGUACACUGGACACAAACUGGGCCCCCUGGCAGCCUAGGAUAAAUCCGGCAAGAUUCAACAGGACACAGACCACAGACAGUAAGACAAAAAGGUUCACCUGAAACAAUAAAAGAUGGGUUCACAAUUGUUAAAGGAAGGUAAUAAAACACCCUGAAGCAG